GGCUUUGCGGCGGGCGGGCUGGCCCGUUCAGCCGCUUCGGGGGCGGCCGGUUCGGCGAGCGCUGGUUCAACGCCUGGUGGUGCCG
rnacentral:tRNA from 1 species